GGCCCCGUGGCCUAAUGGCUAAGGCGUCUGACUUCUAAUCAGAAGAUUGCGAGUUCGAUCCUCGCCGGGGCCU
rnacentral:tRNA from 1 species